rnacentral:rRNA from 1 species
GUCUAGGGCCAUAGCACCCAGAACUUGCCGGAACCCGUCUGAUAUUGGCAGCUAAGCAGGGUCGGGCGUGGUUAGUACUUGGAAGGGAGACCGUUCUUGAAUAGCGGGUGCUGUAGGGA